rnacentral:rRNA from 1 species
CCUAACACAUGCAAGUCGAGCGAGAAAGCUCCUUCGGGAGUGAGUAAAGCGGCGGACGGGUGAGUAACACGUGAGAAUCUACCCUUUAGUGAAGAAUACUCUCGAGAAAUCGAGGUUAAUACUGCAUACGUCCCUUCGGGGAGAAAGGUGGCUUUAUGCUGCCGCUAAAGGAUGAGCUUGCGAGCUAUUAGCUUGUUGGUGAGGUAAAGGCUCACCAAGGCGAUGAUGGCUAGCCGGCCUGAGAGGGUGUUCGGCCACAUUGGAACUGAGAUACGGUCCAGACUCCUACGGGAGGCAGAAGUGGGGAAUAUUGCGCAAUGGGCGAAAGCCUGACGCAGCGACGCCGCGUGGAGGAUGAAGGCUUUGGGUCGUAAACUCCUGUUAGGUGGGAAGAAAAGCCUGUUUCUAAAAUAAACAGGCCCUGACGGUACCAUCAGAGAAAACACCGGCUAACUUCGUGCCAGCAGCCGCGGUAAUACGAGGGGUGUAAGCGUUAUUCGGAAUU